rnacentral:rRNA from 1 species
UACGAAGGGGGCUAGCGUUGUUCGGAAUUACUGGGCGUAAAGGGCGCGCAGGCGGCUCUUCAAGUCAGAUGUGAAAGCCCGGGCUCAACCUGGGAACUGCAUUUGAGACUGGAGAGCUUGAGUUCGGGAGAGGAGAGCGGAAUUCCCAGUGUAGAGGUGAAAUUCGUAGAUAUUGGGAAGAACACCGGUGGCGAAGGCGGCGACCUGGUCCUUGACUGACGCUGAGGCGCGAAAGCGUGGGGAGCAAACAGGG